rnacentral:tRNA from 1 species
ACCUGGUUGACUCAGUUGGUAGAGCAUGUGACUCUUGAUCUCAGGGUUGUGAGUUCAAGCCCCAUGUUGGGUA